rnacentral:snRNA from 1 species
UCAGCUCUCUUCGCCUUUUGGCUUAGAUCAAGUGUAGUAUCUGUUCUUUUCAGUUUAAUCUCUGAAAGGUCUCCAAGGAGACCAAUCGUGAUUAUUCCUAUUUUUGGUCGCGGGGGGAGCCCUCUGUGCUUGCACACGGCUCCUCCCACUGUGUCCCUGGUAUUACACUGCUUCCAGGCGACGCGAAUUUUUC